UAUGGUUUUUACAGCAUAUCUGUUUGUGAUUAUGCAUUGGGAAUUAAACAUAUCCAUUGUAACCUACCAAAUGAAUAUGCUCUUAUUUAAGUCUUUUAUUUCUUUUUUUGAUCAGCAGAUCCAUGUGAAAUAAAUGCAAAAACUCUUCAGCACAAAAAAGGAUAAAGGGAUGUUGUCCAUGUGAUUUGUAGUUUCAGUUCACACCAUAGCCCCAUCAUGUGUACAUAUCUGGCACACAAUAUUGCUGUCUUCCAGAUGGUAUGAGCAGUGAGACUCAGGAGGCAUGGAUGGAAAUGGAAGCGCGGGCACAGUUAGAUAAACAGCAGCACUGCAGGGAAUCAGUCUCACCUGGCCACCUGAUGCACGGCUUCCUGGAAAUUACUCCACCCCACACCACACCACCGCCCUGCUCUAACUGAUCAAGAUGAAGGGAGGCCCGUCAGCAAUCCUCCACCCUCAUCCAUCAAAAGCAGCCGUCCCUCCUGUCUCCACUGCUCUCUGUCCCCCAGGCCGAAGUGCUCAUCUGCAGCAGCGGGUCGGUCCACCCAAGAGUCCCUGGGUGACAUCUAGCACCUGCGUGGAGGCCUGUAAUCCUGCUUUGCCUAAUCUGGCAUCAUCAUCAUCAUCAUCUGAUCACAUCACGACUCCCUGCGGAGACCAGACGGCUCCAUAUUGUAUUAAAAAAAGAGAAGAAAAUUGUUAUAUCAUGGCAUGUGUUUUGACCAAUUCACUUUUAAAGAACAUUGGCAGUGCAUUGUACAAAUGCACUCUAAAAAGGGAUGUGUUAAAAACGUGUGUGCUCAGGGACAAUACAUCCCUGUCGGACAAUACAUACAAUCAGUUUUAACACACAAUUGUACCUAACACGCAAUGUGGAAUUUUGACACAGCCCAUUGUGGAUGUGUAUACCAAACAUGCAUCUCUGUCUCUUACGUUAAUGCUAAAUGUGUGCCAUGUGUGUUAUGUGCACAUAUGUAUGUCUGUAUACUACACAUAUGGUUGUAAGGGUCCAUGAUCAGACAUGGGCAGUAUUUUAAUUAUAUGUAUUUUAAAAACGUAUUUUACUUUAGCGUAUUUUGUAAUUUUUAUUUUGCAGGAUUGGAAUAAAUUUAAAAUACUUAAAUACUUAAGAAAAAUCUGUCAUUUUUUCUCUAAUAAGCCAAAAGUUCAUCACUCAGUUAAAUAUACCUUUGUACCCAAUGUACAAAAUUAAUAGCCCUUUGCCAGCCAAUCAGAAAAUAGUAUUUCUUGUCUCUUGGGGAUAUGUUUUAAAUAAUAUGCCUUGUAGUUUCUUUUAAAACUUUUUGGUCUACCAUGAUUAUUGUGUGGGUAUUUUUGUAUUUUCAAAUUACUAAUUACUUGUAUUUUAAUUAAAUACAUUUUCCACAUCA